UACCCGCAGCUCAAGUGGUGGUCGUUAUUAUUGGGCCUAAAGCGUCCGUAGGUGGUUUGUUAAAUGCCUGGGUAAAUCGAUGCGCUCAACGCAUCGAAUUCCGGGUAGACUGGCAAACUCGAGACCGGGAGAGGUGUAGGCUACUCGAGGGGUAGGGGUAAAAUCCUGUAAUCCUUCGGGGAGGACCAGUGGCGAAGGCGCUACACUAGAACGGCUCUGACAGUGAGGGACGAAGCCCUGGGGCGCAAACCGG
rnacentral:rRNA from 1 species